rnacentral:lncRNA from 1 species
CUUUUUUUUUUUUUUUUGGUAGAUAUUAUUGAUAAUUGCACCUGCUUUUAAAAUGAACCCCUUUCCUGGCUCAACUUUUGUUAUAGUGAAAUUCUAGGUAUUUUUUAUGAGUUUUCUUUAUAUUGCAAUGUUUUCUAUAAAUAAAAAUAAUAGACUCUGUUUUAACUAUAAGGAAACAUUGUGACGCACUAAUAAAAGGGAAACUGAAGUCAUGCAAACCUUUAAGAUAGCAGUUCGCUUUCCACUAUGAAUCUUCAUCCCUCAGUUGUCUCACCGCUGACCAAGGAGUUGUUGUAGAUACUUAAAGUUGUAAAGCAGCUAGCAGGGUUCCAGAAAUGUUGAUUCCAUUCCCUUGUCAUCUCCUUUGGUCCAGGCGAGAGAAGAGAACUGAGCACAGUAGCUCUACAUUGGAAUUUGGCUAUAAAGUUAUAAAUAGAUUCAAAUGAUAAUAUUUUUGUUUCCUUGACUAUACUCUAAAAACAUGAUUUUAACCCUUCCUCUAUGAAAAUCUUUCUUACAGAUAAUGAUUUUAAAUGAUAUGAUUUGUUUUUUGCUUUUGCAUAAGAGGUAAUUAAAGAAAAAGGACUAGAACACGUUACUGUUGAUGACUUGGUGGCUGAAAUCACUCCAAAAGGCAGAGCCCUGGUACCUGACAGUGUAAAGAAGGAGCUCCUACAGAGAAUCAGAACAUUCCUUGCUCAGCAUGCCAGUCUUUAAGGGGGAAUUAGAAUGUGCUGGUCUGUGGAUUUAUUUCUGAAAGUAAAACUUGCCAUAAUUAGAAAUUGAUUUCCCAAAAUAAAGUCCUUUUUUGUAUGAUGGUA